GGCCUACAACGAGUGGUGGAGCAUGUGGUUUAAUUCGAUGCAACACGAAGAACCUUACCAGGGUUUGAAAUCAUUUCAAAACUCCUUGAAAGAGGAGCCUCCUUCGGGAUGAAAUGACAGGUGGUGCAUGGCUGUCGUCAGCUCGUGUUGUGAAAUGUCGAGUUAAGUCUCGUAACGAGCGCAACCCAUGUCUCUUGUUGCUCACUGAGUGCUUAAGAGAGACUGCCGACCAACAUCGGAGGAAGGUGUGGAUGAUGUCAAGUCAGCAUGCCCCUUACAUCCUGGGCUACACACGUACUACAAUGGUAAGGACAAUGAGCUGCGAUCCUGCGAAGGCUAGCCAAUCUCAAAAACCUUAUCUCAGUUCGGAUUGCACUCUGCAACUCGAGUGCAUGAAGGUGGAAUCGCUAGUAA
rnacentral:rRNA from 1 species